GCUGUCGUUUGUCAUUCCAGUAAUGAGGUGGAUGAAAUCCAAUUCAGAUUGUAUGUACUUAGUCAAGUCCUAAACUGGGAUUGCAAGCGUUACUUCUUGUAAGGAAGCUGCUGAUGGAGUUUCUCGUGAUCUUUCCCCAUGCAGUGCUUUCUGAAGGCUGGUGCUUGAAUAACAGCUUGGCUCUUCCCUGGUUCUUCAGGAGGAUUUACUGCACUCCCUCCUAAACAGAAGUCAGACAAAGUGAAACCCAGACAGUGAUAAUUAAUGAUAUUUCUUAAGAGAGAAGGAGAACAAAGGAGGCGAAAUGACACAAAGUCCCCUUGCAUGAACCCUUCCAGGAAUGGCUGUGUCACAUGGGUGCUGUGGAGCUGACCUUUGUCUGGACAGCCAGGAAGACCAUGGGAAAUCGUAGCCCCAGUACAGUAGUUGCUUCUGUGAAUCUAAUGGUACUGGUGCCUGGUAAGAACAGAGUUGUGGAAGAGGAGCAGGGAAGGAAAUCUAAGACUACAUGAUUUCAGGUUAGUCAGCUGCCUCUAGGUUAAAAGACUUAAGCAUGUUUUAGUACAAAAUUAAAGCAUCACUUCUUGACUAUUAAUUAGUAGCUGAGUUCUCUUUACCUGUCGUGAUUUUAAUUCAAGCUUCAGAGAUAAGGUUUAUUUGCAUACAUGGUUAUGUUUGCUGUAUCAUAAUUUUCAUACGGUUCUAGGAGUUAUUUAAAAAUUCCUGUAUAAUUCUUCUCCCCUGUGACCGUAUCUUCAAUGCAAACAAUCUUUUGCAAACAGAACCUGCUCUGGAAAGUGUUCCGAGUGUUUGGGAGGAUACUAAUUGAACAUCCCUUCGUGUGAAGAAGUGUAUAUCUCAUUGCACAAGAAGGCCUGCAGAAAUGCAAACUAUUUACUUAACUGUAUACAAUACUGGUAAAUAACACUAGUCCCUAAAAAAUUUCCUGGGCAUGAGUCUUAAGAUGAAAGACAUUUUUUACCUGUUUUUGUAGGGAAACUGUUAGGACUUGUUUCAGUGGCCAGAAUAUGCAUUGUAUUUUUCAGGGUGUUGUGCAUUUCCAAAUCACAGCUUGAACUGCAAUUGGGUAGUAACUUAUUAAGCUUGGUAUUGAUUUUUGGGGGGGAUGGAACAGUUUCUGCAAGUUAAAUCACCUGUCAACUUUAUUAAUGCUAAUGCUGUUUUGGUGAUACUGUGAGAGUAUAAUUAUGUCCGUAUCCAAACAUUUCCACCUUUUCAUGUUCUUGCUUUUGUUUUCAGUUUGUCAUAUAAUUCCAUUGCAUUGAGUAAAACUGUUUUUUAUCAGGGAUUCUGAGUGCAUAUUUUCCUUUGUUUUUGACCUCAGGACUGCAGGGUGUCACUGGGGAUGAUGACUGGUAAUGAACGGAAG
rnacentral:lncRNA from 1 species